rnacentral:rRNA from 1 species
ACGGAAGGCAGCAGUGAGGAAUAUUGGUCAAUGGUCGGAAGACUGAACCAGCCAUGCCGCGUGCAGGAAUGAGGCCCUAUGGGUCGUAAACUGCUUUUGUGGUGGAGCAAUAAGGCGUACGCGUACGCCGAUGAGAGUACAUCACGAAUAAGCAUCGGCUAACUCCGUGCCAGCAGCCGCGGUAAUACGGAGGAUCCGAGUGUUAUCCGGAUUUAUUGGGUUUAAAGGGUGCGUAGGCGGAGGAUCAAGUCAGUGGUGAAAUGGUGCGGCUCAACCGUAGCAUUGCCGUUGAAACUGGUUUUCUAGAGUGCGAAUGAGGUGGGCGGAAUGUGUCAUGUAGCGGUGAAAUGCAUAGAUAUGACACAGAACACCGAUUGCGAAGGCAGCUCACUGGGACGCAACUGACGCUGAGGCACGAAAGUGCGGGGAUCGAACAGGAUUAGAUACCCUGGUA